UACGGGGGGGGCAAGCGUUGUUCGGAAUUACUGGGCGUAAAGGGCUCGUAGGCUGCCAACUAAGUCAGACGUGAAAUCCCUCGGCUUAACCGGGGAACUGCGUCUGAUACUGGAUGGCUUGAGGUUGGGAGAGGGAUGCGGAAUUCCAGGUGUAGCGGUGAAAUGCGUAGAUAUCUGGAGGAACACCGGUGGCGAAGGCGGCAUCCUGGACCAAUUCUGACGCUGAGGAGCGAAAGCCAGGGGAGCAAACGGG
rnacentral:rRNA from 1 species